rnacentral:rRNA from 1 species
AACGAACGCUGGCGGCAGGCUUAACACAUGCAAGUCGAGCGCCCCGCAAGGGGAGCGGCAGACGGGUGAGUAACGCGUGGGAAUCUACCGUACCCUACGGAAUAACGCAUGGAAACGUGUGCUAAUACCGUAUACGCCCUUAGGGGGAAAGAUUUAUCGGGGUAUGAUGAGCCCGCGUUGGAUUAGCUAGUUGGUGGGGUAAAGGCCUACCAAGGCGACGAUCCAUAGCUGGUCUGAGAGGAUGAUCAGCCACAUUGGGACUGAGACACGGCCCAAACUCCUACGGGAGGCAGCAGUGGGGAAUAUUGGACAAUGGGCGCAAGCCUGAUCCAGCCAUGCCGCGUGAGUGAUGAAGGCCUUAGGGUUGUAAAGCUCUUUCACCGGUGAAGAUAAUGACGGUAACCGGAGAAGAAGCCCCGGCUAACUUCGUGCCAGCCGCCGCCGUAAAAC